rnacentral:rRNA from 1 species
CAGUCGCCGCGGUAAUACGGAGGGUGCGAGCGUUAUCCGGAUUUACUGGGUUUAAAGGGUGCGCAGGCGGCUUUUUAAGUCGGAUGUGAAAUCCCUGAGCUUAACUUAGGAAUUGCAUUCGAUACUGGGAAGCUAGAGUAUGGGAGAGGAUGGUAGAAUUCCAGGUGUAGCGGUGAAAUGCGUAGAGAUCUGGAGGAAUACCGAUGGCGAAGGCAGCCAUCUGGCCUAAUACUGACGCUGAGGUGCGAAAGCGUGGGGAGCAAACAGGAUUAGAUACCCCAGUAGUCCCUGUCUCUUAUAC